rnacentral:rRNA from 1 species
UGAGACACGAAUCCAGGCCCUACGGGGCGCAGCAGUCGCGAAAACUUCACAAUGGAGGCAACUCCGAUGAGGGAAUUCCUAGUGCCAAUGCAUUUUGUGUUGGCUUUUCUUCAGCGUAGAUAACUGUUGGAAUAAGGGCUGGGUAAGACGGGUGCCAGCCGCCGCGGUAAUACCCGCAGCCCAAGUGGUGGUCGAUAUUAUUGAGUCUAAAACGUUCGUAGCCGGUUCAAUAAAUCUCUGGGUAAAUCGGAGGGCUUAACCUUCCGAAUUCCGGAGAGACUGUUGAACUUGGGACCGGGAGAGGCAAGAGGUACUUCUGGGGUAGGGGUAAAAUCCUGUAAUCCUAGAAGGACCACCGGUGGCGAAGGCGUCUAGCUAGAACGGAUCCGACGGUGAGGGACGAAGCCCUGGGUCGCAAACGGGAUUAGAUACCCCGGUAGUCCAGGGUGUAAACGCUGCAGACUUGGUGUUGGAGGCCCUUUGGGGGCAUUCAGUGCCGGAGAGAAGUUGUUAAGUCUGCUACUUGGGGAGUACGUCCGCAAGGAUGAAACUUAAAGGAAUUGGCGGGGGAGCACCGCAACGGGAGGAGCGUGCGGUUUAAUUGGAUUCAACGCCGAAAAACUCACCAGGAGCGACUGUUACAUGAAAGUCAGGUUGAUGACCUUACUAGAUUUUCAGAGAGGUGGUGCAUGGCCGUCGUCAGUUCGUACCGUAAGGCGUUCUCUUAAGUGAGAUAACGAACGAGACCCUCACCAAUAAUUGCUACUUAUCCCUCCGGGGGUAAGGCACAUUAUCGGGACCGCUGGCGCUAAGUCAGAUGAAGGAGAGGUCAACGGUAGGUCAGUAUGCCCCGAAUUUCCUGGGCUACACGCGCGCUACAAAGGGCGGGACAAUGGGUUCUGACACCGAAAGGUGUAAGCAAUCCCGAAACCCGUCCGUAGUUCGGAUUGAGGGUUGUAACUCACCCUCAUGAAGCUGGAUUCCGUAGUAAUCGCGAAUCAACAACUCGCGGUGAAUAUGCCCCUGCUCCUUGCACACACCGCCCGUCAAACCACCCGAGUUGGGUUUCAGUGAGGCUGUCUCUUCCUGGGAUUGUCGAACUGAGAUUUAGCAAGGAGGGUUAAGUCGUAACAAGGUAUCU